UAAAGAGUGCCAGGCAACGGCCAAUGGCUUCUACAAUCCCUUUCAUCCUGGACAGUCCAGUGUUGUGAUACCCUGACACCAAGACCCUUCCUUGGUUGUCUGGCACAGUGCUGCCACAUACCAUCUCAGGAACUUUCAUUUAUUUCCCUUUGUGUCCAAACAUCAGAAAGGCUUUCUGAGUUGCUUGCCAAGGUGUUCUUCAGCCUUCCCUAGGCUAAACUUCUCCAUUGGAUCAAUAGCAGGUGGUCAACAAAGACAAAAACACCAUCUUCAGAAUGACUCAGAUCAUCCUCUUGGGCAGCCCUUUUUGGAUAUCUCUAUGAAAUUCUGCAGCUGAAAGCUGACACGCAUAAUUAUUUCCUGUUAGAUACUGAAGAAAAAAAAAAGCCCAGGAGAUAUUGUCGAGACUGUUUCUGGGGUGUGAUUGGGGGAUAGGAGAUGAAUGGUGUCAGAAUUGGAACAUGAAGUAGAACUUCCAGUAACCCCUAGGAGCAUCAAGUGACCCAGAGAGGUAACCCCCUCCACCAGGGUCCAUUGCAUCCAUUGCUCUCUCACAGCAACUGAGGCUCAUGGGACUGGAGUGGAGUCGGUAGGAAGGAACAGUCUUUGAAGUUAGAUGCGCCAGGUUGUAACCCCACUUCCACCAAUUGAGAGAAAACCCAAACUGCCCAAGAUGAGGAAGUUAGUGAGAAAGUGGUACCUAAAGCCAUGAUACCAACGAGCUCUAUGCUUCU
rnacentral:lncRNA from 1 species